CUCAUGUUUGUUUAUUUUUAUAGCCAUUGCAUUGGUCAGUUAUGGAGUUGAGGUCAUGACUUGGUUUGACUAUUAUAGUUAUAUUUGCAUUGUAUGUAUUUGUUUUAGUUCUUUGUUUUUCUAAGUUGGUUUGUAGAUAUUAAAGUAAUUAUGGUGUACCCGGUUUUAGUUUUGCACUUGUGUGCAAAUACAUAAUUGGUUUGACUAUUAUAGUCCUAUUUUCAUUGUAUGUAUUUAUUUUUAAAAUACUAAAUCUUAAAGUUGGAUUAGAGUGCACCUAAUUCCUUUCUUAUUUGAUUCACAUUAUAGUUUUUGAUGAAUGCAUUAUUUAGCUUCACAAAUAAUGCCAAUAUUUCAAGUUUAUGUUAU
rnacentral:lncRNA from 1 species